UCUGCUUCCCUCCCUGGUCGGCCUUUGGAAACGCGACCUGCGCCGGGACCUGAGCCCUCGUUCUACAAACCGACAGGUGGCUCUUAUGCUGCUUCUGCAACCUCCAGCCUUGGUGGUAGUUUUGGUUCUGCCCCUGGUCGGCCUUUGGAGGGAGUUGACCCAUCAUUCUACGACCCAACCUAUUGGAUGCCGGCUCCUCCGCCUCACUCGUCCAAACUCAUCCAGUCCAGAAAUGGCUACCGGCGAGCAUCAGUAGUCUCUUCCCACACUAGGUACUCCCCAUUCUACCCUAAACCUCCACCACCAAGACAGACUCCAGGAGGGAAGGUCUAAUGAGGUGAACUUUGUUACCUGAUCUUCAGCAUUCUGGAACUGUUUUUGAAAAGUAUUAAUAAAAUAAUUUGACAACAAGAA